rnacentral:tRNA from 1 species
GCCUGGGUGGCUCAGUCGGUUGAGCGUCUGACUUCAGCUCAGGUCACGAUCUCGCGGUCCGUGAGUUCAAGCCCCGCGUCAGGCU